CAAUAGCGUAUAUUUAAGUUGCUGCAGUUAAAAAGCUCGUAGUUGGAUUUCGGGUGGGAAUGGCCGGUCCGCCGUUUCGGUGUGCACUUGCUACGCCCACCUUGCUGCCGGGGACGUGCUCUUGAGUUCACGCUCGGGACACGGAGUCGGCGAGGUUACUUUGAGUAAAUUAGAGUGCUCAAAGCAAGCCUACGCUCUGAAUAUAUUAGCAUGGAAUAACACGAUAGGACUCUGGCUUAUCUUGUUGGUCUGUGAGACCAGAGUAAUGAUUAAGAGGGACAGUCGGGGACAUUCGUAUUUCAUUGUCAGAGGUGAAAUUCUUGGAUUUAUGAAAGACGAACUUCUGCGAAAGCAUUUGUCAAGGAUGUUUUCAUUAA
rnacentral:rRNA from 1 species